UCUUUCAUGCCCUAAUAUUAAAUAUCCAAUGCCUAAUAGGCCGUUUAAGAUGAAACAAUGUUUUCCACAACAUUUUCUGCCUGACCACAGAAAAGUUCACAGGCUAGAUCUUACUCGUCAAAGGUACAAUGACGAGCAAGUUAUAUAAGAUUAUGGCACGUAUUCAUGAUUGUGUUAACAAUUUUUCAUUGGUUGUACAAACGCAUGCGCGCAGAUGCAAGAAGUCAUCAAGUGAGAUGCAAACGUAUUUUCGUCUCUGAGAUGAUGCUUACACUUCGGCGACCUGCAUUCCUUUUCUAUCACUAUAAGUUCUGUGAUUCAUCGCCAUGUUUUUAUGUUUCCGUUCAUGUUUUCUCUUGUCAUUUGAAGCACUGAUUAAAUACUAAAAUUUGUAGUAUAUAAAAUAUCAAUAUGAUCCUGCGAAGAUCGUUGAAGAUUCCUAUGGAUCAUAAUUGUCAAAAGUUGUCAUGGAAAGUGAUAAAAUGUCAAUGUGAUAAUAUUCAGUGAUAAAAAGCUAUCUGGUUUUCAUCGAAUCAUGUAGCAGACUACAUGCCUCAGAUCUAUUCAUGAGAACGAUUCCACAGCCACCGAAGAUGUUAGCUCAUGACGUACAUUGGAACAGUAUUAAUCGUGGCAUUAUACUUAAAGAUAUAGUCGACACUGAGAAAGCGAACGUUGCAGAGUUGCAAGGAUUGGUUGACAAUUUUCUACAGCCACUUGCUUCGACUAACAUCCUAACCGAGGAAGAAUUUAGCCAAUUAAUUGGUAAUUUGUUAGAAGUGUUGGAGAUUCACGAAUAUCUUCUAAAGUUGUUGGAACGUGCCUUACUUCAGGGAUCGAUGAGCAAAGUGGGAGACCGCUUUUUAAUGCUAGCAUCUAGAAUAAAUGAGAUUCAUCAAUCUUAUUGUGAUCAUCAUCCACUAGCAGUGUGCAUUUUAGACAAAUAUAGAAAAGAAUUGAAUGCAUACAUGGAAGAGAAAGGAGCAGUGUCACCGGGUAUUCUAGUCCUUACAACUGGUUUAAGUAAACCCCUUCGUAGACUGGAAAAGUACUCAGCCAUGUUUCAAGAAUUGGAAAGGUAUACGGAGAGGUGCCACCCAGAUAAGGGAAAUGUGCAACGAUGCAUUAUCCUCUACAGAGAAAUAGCUGAGACAUGCGCUAGUAUAAGGAGAAGGAAGGAACUGGCUCUUCAAGUAUUGAUGGGAGGAAUCGAAGACUGGGAUGGCGAAGAAUUAGGAUCCAUAGAUGAGAUACUUCACGUCGGCCUAGUGACUCUCGUUAUGGGAGAGGAACUACGAACCAGAUACCUCGUUUUAUCUCCCACGGCCCUUCACAUAUUGAGUACUAAUCAGACUAUGAGUUCUUUUGUUUACGAGUGCAAGUUGCCGUUAGGCACAAUUACGAUCACUCCAAUGGCAAACACAGAAGAGACGAGGAAUGCAUUUACAAUAUCAGGGCCAACGAUGGACAGCAUUCUCGUGUUGUGCUCCUCUAGCGAAGAGAAACACCAGUGGUUUGAGAGUUUAACCUCGGAGCACAACAGCGAGCCAGUCAAGUCAACGUCAGCAUUUUGUGGGAGUUCCUGUUAUCCUCCGUUUUCUCGGCUCUCGCGAUUUUUCGCACGUCUCGUCAGGAAGAAAGUGAUUUAUCCAGAGUUAUUGAAGAAACUGUUGUACUUUGAGUACAUCGUGAAGCUGGACUUAACCGGUGUUAAAAUGAGAAAGUGCAAAGUGGAGUACUCGAUAUGUCCGAUUCAACCGGACAGUAGUCAAUCAGAAUCAGAUGCUUCUGUUGUCGACAAAUCAGUGAAUAAAACGCGUUCUGUGUACAAAUCGACUUUAAACCUCGAUGUGAAUUACGCGACAGAAACGGUAAAGUGUUGUGACUCUACCGUUCCUACACUCGUCUCCGAGUCGAGUUCUGCCCAAAACGGAUUCCAUGAUACCAAAAGUCUACCAGGUUCUUCUUCAGUUGGAAAAGUAAAUGUUACUAUGCCGGCUCAUCCUUCGUUAUGUGACACUUACUGGGAACAUUAUAACACAGAGCGUAAUGGUGGGAAUCUAAACAAACACGCGAAAAAUUGGAAGUGCGUCGAACUAGUCAAAAAAGACACAGUGAGCAGGUUAUGGUUGAUGUUAACACCAACUAGCGAAGAUAAUGGAAAGGAUGAAGACGAUUACGAAGAUUUUACUGAAGAGGAAACCAAAGAGAGGAAUGUCUGUACAUUUGAGAUUGAUAAUUCCUCAAGACUUGUGGUUACGAGUCCCCGAUCGUCUGAUUCAGGGAUGGCCGGAAGCUGUAACUGGAACUCUUCGGAACUGAAUUUUCACAAGUCUGAUCGAGACAGUGUGGAGUCUACAUCUCCAACAUACGAUGCAUCGCACAGAGAAAGUGAAACCGAAGAACACGAAUUUGAGCGUCAAUGCAUUUGUGCUUCACCAUUUGAUUCGUUACCGGCUUCUCAGAAUACAGAUCGUAGUGAAACUCAACAAUCAUCUCAACAGAGUAAUGUUGAUACUAUUUCUACAGAGCAAGCACCGUGUUUGACUACAAAGCGAUCAAUAACUAUGAAUCGUAAAAGGUUUAGUGAGCCUGUACCGUACACAAAUCAAUGUUACAACACCCCAAGGAAAAUUAGUAGUCGAGUGGUGCAUCUAAGACAAGAAAAAAAACGAGUAGAAUUAAUAUUCAGGUCUGGUUUGUACGCACAUUGGUGGCUUAAAAAAAAAAUUCCCACAAACGAAUCCACGGAUCAAGAUCCUACAUAACAUAGGUUUCAGAUAUAAUAGAAUGAACUGUAAAGUUCCAUUAUAAUUGAAGAUUUCGAGCUUUCACGCCUGUUUUCUACACUAAUGGUUCAUGCACACAGCUGACGGCAGCAGCAGAUUAAUUGAAUCGUACCACUUGUCACCCGUCGUACCGUUGUCAGCUUCUUGUUUCAUUUGUUAAUAAUACGUUUCUUCUAAAUAGUAUAAGACACAAUCGUGUCGCGUAUGUAAUAGUGAUUGUUUUAAAUGAGGCAUUCGUACCACGCGGCUACGAUUAGGAAAACUCUUAAUCGCGCAGAUUGUUUGGUCUGGAAGUACAAACAAAACUCAUUUCUAGGUUAAUUCAUUAUUUACCGUCAUUAUUAAGCUGACGGGCUCGCGAUAAACACUUGUUUCACUUCGGAUGGUUAAUUCGCGAUUUCUGAAACGGUUCCGAUAUAAACUCCACGCUUGAGCAGAUAUUCGAGUGUCUACACAAUUCCCCGACUACUGUCCGUACGUCGUAUUUAGCAUCUUAUUCCGUAACUUACGUGCAUAAGGCCAACUAUUUUUUAACAUCUCAGAAGGAAAGCGUAUUAGAAUGUGUUAUUUUAAAUACUGUUCUUCCAUAUAAGGACAGUUUUGAACUAUACGGAUGUCCAUAUACGAUACAACACAAUAACAUAAUGUAAUACAAUAUAUAAUGUCAUAAAACGUAACGUCGUUCCUCCUAAAUAAUUAGAUAUCUUUCUCGGAAGUUUUUUUCACCUUAGUUUAGUAUAAGUUUAUUUAAAAGGAAGAUGGAAGCAUGAUUUUAACGUCCCUUGAUUUUCUUACUUCCAAAGCUAAGCAUCCGCCAUUUACUAAUAAACGAAAGGUUGACUCUUGGGUUUGGAAGUCGAAGAAGCAAGGAGAGCGAAAAGCUUUUUUUCCGCGUUUUCUUAAAGCAACCUCGUAAAAGUACCGAUAUAGAAGAAUCUGUAAAGCCGAGUUUAAAUUUGAGUUCGAUCGCCAGUCUUUACAAGGUGUCGUCCCCUCGGAAGGUUCCGUGGAAUAUAAUUAGGUCGAUUUUUAGUUCAGCCGAGAUGAGUUGUGUUGCCAACAUAAAAAACGUACUCCCCGUUAUCUCUCUCCGAAUUGGAUACAUCUUCGAAGCGCACACAGUAAAUCUUCUAUAAAUCUAAACGUCAGAAUUAUACGAAUGAUCUCGAAUGCCUUUGGCCUACGUCAAUGAAUGCUGCCAGUAAAAAAAGAGCAAUGAGAAAUGCAUUAUUGUCCUCGUUCAAUCUAUGGGUUUUACAAGGCCGGACAAGAUCCGACACCGAUGGCACGUUUGUAAGGGUCCCCGUUAAAGUUCCCAUUUGACACCGGUGAAAACGUUUUUCCUGAGUGGCGAACAACUAGAGUGCUAGACAGAGACCUACACGUGGUGAGAAUGACAAAACAAGAAGAGAGGAUGAAUGUGUAAUGAGAUCAAUAGAAAGAGGUUAUAUUUUCCGAACACUUACAUACUCGUCAAGCUCCGUAAUACCUCGAAAUGGCUGCGAAAUAUCGUGCGAGAACCGAAAGGAAUCCCUCUGGAGGUGGCAACACCUAAUUUCCUUGGAGUCGCGCAUCGGGAGACGGAAGAACGGAAGAUGAGGACCCUAAAAGAGUAAGAAGGAGACCCGAGUGCGACGAGCGUCUCCCUUGGCCCUACGGGCCA
rnacentral:misc_RNA from 1 species